rnacentral:rRNA from 1 species
UCCUCGGCGUCGAGGAGUGAACGCGUGGCGGCGUGCUAACACAUGCAAGUCGAACGGAGCGACCGGACACGGACUAGUUCGGUAGGAAGCGUGCGGAGGGCGUUAGUGGCGGACGGGUGGAGUAACGCGUGGAUAACCUGCCGCAUACCGGGGGAGUAACAGCUGGGAAACAGCUGCUAAUACCGCAUAUGCCCGCAGUGCCGCAUGGCACAGCGGGGAAAACUCCGGUGGUAUGCGAUGGGUCCGCGUCUGAUUAGGCAGUUGGCGGGGUAACGGCCCACCAAACCGACGAUCAGUAGCCGGCCUGAGAGGGCGGACGGCCACACUGGGACUGAGACACGGCCCAGACUCCUGCGGGAGGCAGCAGUGGGGAAUAUUGCACAAUGGGGGAAACCCUGAUGCAGCGACGCCGCGUGAAGGAAGAAGUAUCUCGGUAUGUAAACUUCUAUCAGCAGGGAAGAAAACAGACGGUACCUGACUAAGAAGCCCCGGCUGACUACGUG